UGAUACACGCAAGUUACAACUUUUCACGCUGUUUUACUCCAGUACAUAUGAGAAGCAGCAAGCUUUGAUUCUCUCGGGCAUGGAACAGCACCAAGUGAGGCGAAGACGCUCCAAGGAAAACAGUGAACACAGAAAACAUCAGAGUUUUUUCUAUUAUAUUCAGCAAGCAGGGCAGAGACUAAAUGUUUGCAAAACAACAUUCAUGUCAGUGUAUCAGCUGACAAACAGUCGCUUACAGGUUAUUCAGGAAAAGUUGCACAAAUGUGAGUUAGGGCAAA